CAGCAAUGAUCUUAGAUAAGCAAUUGUUGUUGCCCAUCAAACUAGGAAGGGUUAUAAGGCCAUUUCCAAACAUCUGAACAAACCACAAGACUUCUGGAACAAUGUCCUUUGGACAGACAAGACCAAAGUGGAGACGUUUAGCCAUAAUGCACAGCGCCAACUUUGGUGAAAACCAAACGGAGCAUAUCAACACAAACACCUCAUACCAGCGGUCAAGCAUGGUGGUGGAGAGGUAAUUAUUUGGGCUUAUUUGCAGCAACAGGACCUGGGAACCUUGCACUCAUUAAGUUGACCAUAAACUCCUCUGUAUACCAAAGUAUUCUAGCGUCAAACGUGAGGCAAUCUGUCCGACAGCUAAAGCUUGGCUGAAAUUAGAUCAUGCAACAGGACAAUGAUCCCAAGCACACCAACAAAUCUACAGCAGAAUGGCUGGAAGAGAAAAUAAUCAAGGAUUGGCAAUGGCCCAGUCAAAGUCCAGACCUCAACCUGAUUGAAAUGCUGUGACCGGACCUUAACAGAG